GCCUGGAUGGCUCAGUCGGUUGGGCAUCUGACUUCAGCUUAGGUCAUGAUCUCGCUGUAUGUGGGUUCAAGCCCUGCAUCGGGUU
rnacentral:tRNA from 1 species